UUGAUAUUUUGUUCCUCGUUGAAUUUUGUGACGAAAGAUCCAAGGGCAUCCUUCGAGUGCUUGAUUUUGGAUAAUCUGAUUUGGAGUCUUGGAGUUGUGAGACAUUUAGAUCAGGAGUAGAGGUCAGUGACGGAUAGCUUAGCAGG